rnacentral:hammerhead_ribozyme from 1 species
AUCCAGCUGACGAGUCCCAAAUAGGACGAAAUGCGCAUUUUACAG